rnacentral:miRNA from 1 species
GUUUCUCUGUGUAGCCCUGGCUGUCUUGGAACUCACUCUGUAGACCAGGCUGGCCUUGAACUCAGAGAUCCACCUGCCUCUGCCUCCCAAGUGCUGGGAUUAAAGGCAUGUGCCACUACCACCCG